UACCAGCACCCCGAGUGGUCGGGACGUUUAUUGGGCCUAAAGCAUCCGUAGCCGGUUCUACAAGUCUUCCGUUAAAUCCACCUGCUUAACAGAUGGGCUGCGGAAGAUACUAUAGAGCUAGGAGGCGGGAGAGGCAAGCGGUACUCGAUGGGUAGGGGUAAAAUCCGUUGAUCCAUUGAAGACCACCAGUGGCGAAGGCGGCUUGCCAGAACGCGCUCGACGGUGAGGGAUGAAAGCUGGGGAAGCAAACCGG
rnacentral:rRNA from 1 species